UACGUAGGGUGCAAGCGUUAAUCGGAAUUACUGGGCGUAAAGCGUGCGCAGGCGGUGAUGUAAGACAGGUGUGAAAUCCCCGGGCUUAACCUGGGAACUGCAUUUGUGACUGCAUCGCUGGAGUGCGGCAGAGGGGGGAUGGAAUUCCGCGUGUAGCAGUGAAAUGCGUAGAGAUGCGGAGGAACACCGAUGGCGAAGGCAGCCCCCUGGGCUAACACUGACGCUCAGGCACGAAAGCGUGGGGAGCAAACAGG
rnacentral:rRNA from 1 species